GCUUCCAGUUUGAGGAAAUGAGAUCCGCUGAGAAGUUGGCGAGGUUCCUGUGCUUCUUUGCUCCAUCUUUGGACAGAGUUUUCAAUUUGGAAGGAGUGUUGCAAUUCUAAGAAACUGGUCUUACAGCAGCAUCUCUCCCUGAAUGGUGGACAGAGCCUGCCAGCACCAGACUGGAUGAAGAGAGCCUGCCUGCACCCGACUGGACUAAGAGGUGAGUCUUUAUCCUCAUACCCAAAUAUCCCAGCCCCUAGGCUUUGGGCCCAGGGGCACAAC